rnacentral:lncRNA from 1 species
UGGACGACCCUACUCCGAACUUCUUCCAGACUUUGUCAAUAUCCGACAAUGAGAUUUCUAAAGUAAGCAGACUCCAUCCAAGUUUCUACGACGGUCGAUCACCAUCCGAAUUCCAACCGAGCUCCUAUGAGAGCCAAACUCCUACUGCAGGCUGUCUACUCUGGAUAUCUACUGUAAGCGAAUUCCAUUCGAGCCUCUACUGUAAAUGAAUUUCUUUCGAACUUCUAUUACAGGUAGACUUCAGUCGAGCUUCUCCUACAGUGGACGGAUCCCAGACGAGCUUC